GUAGUCGUGACCGAGUGGCUAAUGCCGUGGACUAGAAAUCCAAUGGGAUCUUAAGGCGCAGGUUCGAAUCCUGCCGACUGCG